rnacentral:rRNA from 1 species
UACGGAGGGGGCCAGCGUUGUUCGGAAUCAUUGGGCGUAAAGGGCGCGUAGGUGGCCUGCUAAGUCGAACGUGAAAUCCCCGGGCUCAACCCGGGAACUGCGUCCGAGACUGGCAGGCUUGAAUCCGGGAGAGGGAUGUGGAAUUCCAGGUGUAGCGGUGAAAUGCGUAGAUAUCUGGAGGAACACCGGUGGCGAAGGCGGCAUCCUGGACCGGUAUUGACGCUGAGGCGCGAAAGCCAGGGGAGCAAACGGG